AUUGAACGCUGGCGGCAGGCCUAACACAUGCAAGUCGAACGGUAACAGGAAGCAGCUUGCUGCUUUGCUGACGAGUGGCGGACGGGUGAGUAAUGUCUGGGAAACUGCCUGAUGGAGGGGGAUAACUACUGGAAACGGUAGCUAAUACCGGAUAACGUCGCAAGACCAAAGAGGGGGACCUUAGGGCCUCUUGCCAUCGGAUGUGCCCAGAUGGGAUUAGCUAGUAGGUGGGGUAACGGCUCACCUAGGCGACGAUCCCUAGCUGGUCUGAGAGGAUGACCAGCCACACUGGAACUGAGACACGGUCCAGACUCCUACGGGAGGCAGCAGUGGGGAAUAUUGCACAAUGGGCGCAAGCCUGAUGCAGCCAUGCCGCGUGUAUGAAGAAGGCCUUCGGGUUGUAAAGUACUUUCAGCGGGGAGGAAGGGAGUAAAGUUAAUACCUUUGCUCAUUGACGUUACCCGCAGAAGAAACACCGGCUAACUCCGU
rnacentral:rRNA from 1 species